rnacentral:rRNA from 1 species
UUAAGCGACUAAGCGUACACGGUGGAUGCCCUGGCAGUCAGAGGCGAUGAAGGACGUGCUAAUCUGCGAUAAGCGUCGGUAAGGUGAUAUGAACCGUUAUAACCGGCGAUUUCCGAAUGGGGAAACCCAGUGUGAUUCGUCACACUAUCAUUAACUGAAUCCAUAGGUUAAUGAGGCGAACCGGGGGAACUGAAACAUCUAAGUACCCCGAGGAAAAGAAAUCAACCGAGAUUCCCCCAGUAGCGGCGAGCGAACGGGGAGGAGCCCAGAGCCUGAAUCAGUGUGUGUGUUAGUGGAAGCGUCUGGAAAGGCGCGCGAUACAGGGUGACAGCCCCGUACACAAAAAUGCACAUGCUGUGAGCUCGAUGAGUAGGGCGGGACACGUGGUAUCCUGUCUGAAUAUGGGGGGACCAUCCUCCAAGGCUAAAUACUCCUGACUGACCGAUAGUGAACCAGUACCGUGAGGGAAAGGCGAAAAGAACCCCGGCGAGGGGAGUGAAAAAGAACCUGAAACCGUGUACGUACAAGCAGUGGGAGCCUCUUUAUGGGGUGACUGCGUACCUUUUGUAUAAUGGGUCAGCGACUUAUAUUCUGUAGCAAGGUUAACCGAAUAGGGUAGCCGAAGGGAAACCGAGUCUUAACUGGGCGUUAAGUUGCAGGGUAUAGACCCGAAACCCGGUGAUCUAGCCAUGGGCAGGUUGAAGGUUGGGUAACACUAACUGGAGGACCGAACCGACUAAUGUUGAAAAAUUAGCGGAUGACUUGUGGCUGGGGGUGAAAGGCCAAUCAAACCGGGAGAUAGCUGGUUCUCCCCGAAAGCUAUUUAGGUAGCGCCUCGUGAAUUCAUCUCCGGGGGUAGAGCACUGUUUCGGCAAGGGGGUCAUCCCGACUUACCAACCCGAUGCAAACUGCGAAUACCGGAGAAUGUUAUCACGGGAGACACACGGCGGGUGCUAACGUCCGUCGUGAAGAGGGAAACAACCCAGACCGCCAGCUAAGGUCCCAAAGUCAUGGUUAAGUGGGAAACGAUGUGGGAAGGCCCAGACAGCCAGGAUGUUGGCUUAGAAGCAGCCAUCAUUUAAAGAAAGCGUAAUAGCUCACUGGUCGAGUCGGCCUGCGCGGAAGAUGUAACGGGGCUAAACCAUGCACCGAAGCUGCGGCAGCGACACUAUGUGUUGUUGGGUAGGGGAGCGUUCUGUAAGCCUGUGAAGGUGUACUGUGAGGUAUGCUGGAGGUAUCAGAAGUGCGAAUGCUGACAUAAGUAACGAUAAAGCGGGUGAAAAGCCCGCUCGCCGGAAGACCAAGGGUUCCUGUCCAACGUUAAUCGGGGCAGGGUGAGUCGACCCCUAAGGCGAGGCCGAAAGGCGUAGUCGAUGGGAAACAGGUUAAUAUUCCUGUACUUGGUGUUACUGCGAAGGGGGGACGGAGAAGGCUAUGUUGGCCGGGCGACGGUUGUCCCGGUUUAAGCGUGUAGGCUGAUUUUCCAGGCAAAUCCGGAAAAUCAAGGCUGAGGCGUGAUGACGAGGCACUACGGUGCUGAAGCAACAAAUGCCCUGCUUCCAGGAAAAGCCUCUAAGCAUCAGGUAACAUCAAAUCGUACCCCAAACCGACACAGGUGGUCAGGUAGAGAAUACCAAGGCGCUUGAGAGAACUCGGGUGAAGGAACUAGGCAAAAUGGUGCCGUAACUUCGGGAGAAGGCACGCUGAUAUGUAGGUGAAGUCCCUCGCGGAUGGAGCUGAAAUCAGUCGAAGAUACCAGCUGGCUGCAACUGUUUAUUAAAAACACAGCACUGUGCAAACACGAAAGUGGACGUAUACGGUGUGACGCCUGCCCGGUGCCGGAAGGUUAAUUGAUGGGGUCAGCGCAAGCGAAGCUCUUGAUCGAAGCCCCGGUAAACGGCGGCCGUAACUAUAACGGUCCUAAGGUAGCGAAAUUCCUUGUCGGGUAAGUUCCGACCUGCACGAAUGGCGUAAUGAUGGCCAGGCUGUCUCCACCCGAGACUCAGUGAAAUUGAACUCGCUGUGAAGAUGCAGUGUACCCGCGGCAAGACGGAAAGACCCCGUGAACCUUUACUAUAGCUUGACACUGAACAUUGAGCCUUGAUGUGUAGGAUAGGUGGGAGGCUUUGAAGUGUGGACGCCAGUCUGCAUGGAGCCGGCCUUGAAAUACCACCCUUUAAUGUUUGAUGUUCUAACGUUGGCCCCUGAUCGGGGUUGCAGACAGUGUCUGGUGGGUAGUUUGACUGGGGCGGUCUCCUCCUAAAGAGUAACGGAGGAGCACGAAGGUUGGCUAAUCCUGGUCGGACAUCAGGAGGUUAGUGCAAUGGCAUAAGCCAGCUUGACUGCGAGCGUGACGGCGCGAGCAGGUGCGAAAGCAGGUCAUAGUGAUCCGGUGGUUCUGAAUGGAAGGGCCAUCGCUCAACGGAUAAAAGGUACUCCGGGGAUAACAGGCUGAUACCGCCCAAGAGUUCAUAUCGACGGCGGUGUUUGGCACCUCGAUGUCGGCUCAUCACAUCCUGGGGCUGAAGUAGGUCCCAAGGGUAUGGCUGUUCGCCAUUUAAAGUGGUACGCGAGCUGGGUUUAGAACGUCGUGAGACAGUUCGGUCCCUAUCUGCCGUGGGCGCUGGAGAACUGAGGGGGGCUGCUCCUAGUACGAGAGGACCGGAGUGGACGCAUCACUGGUGUUCGGGUUGUCAUGCCAAUGGCACUGCCCGGUAGCUAAAUGCGGAAGAGAUAAGUGCUGAAAGCAUCUAAGCACGAAACUUGCCCCGAGAUGAGUUCUCCCUGACUCCUUGAGAGUCCUGAAGGAACGUUGAAGACGACGACGUUGAUAGGCCGGGUGUGUAAGCGCAGCGAUGCGUUGAGCUAACCGGUACUAAUGAACCGUGAGGCUUAACCUU